GGAUUAAUAAUGGAGUUACCGCUAAUCAACCCUUUGUGAACAUACCUUAACUGUUGCUUCGGCGGGUAGGCGUCCCCUAAAAAGGACGUCUCCCGGCCCUCUCCCGUCCGCGGGUGGGGCGCCCGCCGGAGGAUAACCAAACUCUGAUUUAACGACGUUUCUUCUGAGUGACACAAGCAAAUAAUCAAAACUUUUAACAACGGAUCUCUUGGUUCUGGCAUCGAUGAAGAACGCAGCGAAAUGCGAUAAGUAAUGUGAAUUGCAGAAUUCAGUGAAUCAUCGAAUCUUUGAACGCACAUUGCGCCCGCCAGCAUUCUGGCGGGCAUGCCUGUUCGAGCGUCAUUUCAACCCUCAAGCUCUGCUUGGUGUUGGGGCUCUACGGUUGACGUAGCCCUUAAAGGUAGUGGCGGACCCUCUCGGAGCCUCCUUUGCGUAGUAACAUUUCGUCUCGCAUUGGGAUUCGGAGGGACUCUAGCCGUAAAACCCCCAUUUUACUAAGGUUGACCUCGGAUCAGGUAGGAAUACCCGCUGAACUUAAGC
rnacentral:rRNA from 1 species